rnacentral:tRNA from 1 species
AGCCUUAUAGUCAACUUAUGAUGUUAGAUUGCAAAUCUGAAGGGGUAAAAUUUAUUUUACUAAGGCUU